rnacentral:rRNA from 1 species
GGUUUGUCGCGUUGUUCGUGAAAUCUCACGGCUUAACUGUGAGCGUGCGGGCGAUACGGGCAGACUUGAGUACUGCAGGGGAGACUGGAAUUCCUGGUGUAGCGGUGGAAUGCGCAGAUAUCAGGAGGAACACCGGCGGCGAAGGCGGGUCUCUGGGCAGUAACUGACGCUGAGGAGCGAAAGCGUGGGGAGCGAACAGGAUUAGAUACCCUGGUAGUCCACGCCGUAAACGGUGGGUACUAGGUGUGGGUUUCCUUCCUUGGGAUCCGUGCCGUAGCUAACGCAUUAAGUACCCCGCCUGGGGAGUACGGCCGCAAGGCUAAAACUCAAAGAAAUUGACGGGGGCCCGCACAAGCGGCGGAGCAUGUGGAUUAAUUCGAUGCAACGCGAAGAACCUUACCUGGGUUUGACAUGCACAGGACGCCGGCAGAGAUGUCGGUUCCCUUGUGGCCUGUGUGCAGGUGGUGCAUGGCUGUCGUCAGCUCGUGUCGUGAGAUGUUGGGUUAAGUCCCGCAACGAGCGCAACCCUUGUCUCAUGUUGCCAGCGGGUAAUGCCGGGGACUCGUGAGAGACUGCCGGGGUCAACUCGGAGGAAGGUGGGGAUGACGUCAAGUCAUCAUGCCCCUUAUGUCCAGGGCUUCACACAUGCUACAAUGGCCGGUACAAAGGGCUGCGAUGCCGCGAGGUUAAGCGAAUCCUUUUAAAGCCGGUCUCAGUUCGGAUCGGGGUCUGCAACUCGACCCCGUGAAGUCGGAGUCG